GGCACUUCCAUGAUCACCCAACAAGCCGAAGCCUCCCUCCCGGUGGGUUGGUGGUGGGGCUGAAAAUCUCCAUAAUCCGCUGAUUUUAGGUUCCAAGGUUCUUCUUGGCUCCGGCGGACCAGGCCAUGGCGUCACUGCUGCACGUUUCCUGCAGUCUGCAAUUCCCCAACUUUCAUAACAACAAAACCACCAUUGGCACUUCAAGAAUUUGCUUCCGCAGUAACACUAGCAGCCACAGAAAGGCCCUGUUUUCCUUUAUGGAUGGACGCGUUCCUGCCUCACGGAGCAGUUUGCGGAACUCCUCCACCAUCACCUGUUCCGCUGCCAAUAGGCCCUCUCCUUCAGAGAUUAGUUCAGCAGCCAAGAUAAGGAAUGAAGUACUAUCUCCUUUCCGCUCUGUCCGGAUGUUCUUUUAUCUUGCUUUCAUUGCUAGUGGUGCUUUGGGUGGACUAAUAGCAACAACACAAUUGAUUGCUGCACUUGCAAAUUCAUCAAGAGCAGCUGAAGUCCCUGAGAUUCUGAAGGGUCUUGGCAUAGACUUAGGAGCAGUCUCCAUCUUUGCAUUCCUCUAUUACAGGGAGGACAAAGUUAAAACUGCACAAUUAGCUAGACUUUCGAGGGAAGAAAGCCUUUCAAAUCUUAAGCUCCGUGUGGAUCAAAAGAAGGUUAUUUCUGUCAGCUCUUUGAGAGGAAUUGCUCGCCUUGUUGUUGUUGCUGGUCCUGCAUCCUUUAUUUCCGAGUCUUUCAAAUUUAGCCAGCCUUUCACUGACAGCCUUUUAGAUCGAGGAGUUCUUGUAGUGCCUUUUGCUACGGAUGGGAGUUCACCCAGUUUUGAGUUUGAUGAGACUGAGGAAAUGAAGGACAUUACCAAUAGAAGGAAGAGACUCUGGCAGCUUUCUCCUGUUUAUGUUCCUGAGUGGUCCAAGUGGUUAGAUGAACAAAAGAGGCUGGCCGGUGUUCCCCCAGAUUCUCCUGUGUAUAUGUCUCUACGCAUGGAUGGCCGUGUCCGUGGCAGUGGUGUUGGUUAUCCUCCAUGGAAUGCUUUUGUUGCACAGCUACCACCUUUAAAGGGAGUCUGGUCAGGCCUUCUUGAUGGCAUGGAUGGCAGAGUUCUCUAAAGAAAAUGUUAUGUAUAUCUGUUCAUGAAGAUUUUGCUUGAAGAACUGCAUUUUAGAUCCAGGAGGAUAAGUCUGAGCCGGUCUGGGUUCACUAACGAAUGCUAAGAUACCUAACCAAAUUGAAAUUCACGAGAAGCAAGAAAACAAGUUCAGAGUCAAUGUGGAUGCACAUAUUGUCAGGUGAUCGAACUUUGCCACAGCAGAAAUGUAUUUGAAACCAGAGUUUGCUAAAUUUUCUGCUAGAGCAUUUCUCAUCGCACAUGUUCUCCAUGUAUGAGCAGCACUGACAAAUUGAUCAUUUUCGUUCUCAUAAUAUCGUAUCAGCCGGGCUGGCCAGAAAGAUCAUGAAGCAGACUUCCCAAUUUUCCCUCUAAUUCUUGGUUGCCAAAUAAAGCUCGUGAGAAAAAUCUAGCAGGUUUUCUCAGAGAUACUAAAUGAUUUGACAUUGGGUUUGUAUGUUUUAGUAUGGUCCAUUAACAGGCAGGAGAGAGAUUUGGUAUUUUAGCAGCAGUACUAAUGAUUGAAGGAGGAAUUCUAAGACGAGAGAAGUCACUGAAGCAAA